GAGGAGGGCGGCCGGGCCGGGGGAGUGUGCGGCCGCCGCGCGGAGAACUCUGGACGCCUGGGUCCUCUCCGCGGGGCGAGCGCCAGCCCUGCCUCAGUUUCCCUCCGGAGCUCGGGCGGUUGCCCAGGGAGCGCCUGGAAAUGUGCACGUCUGGAGAAGUGAAAUGUCUCUUCUGGGAAUUAAGAUGUGGACUUGAAAUGAUUAGACAACUUCCUCAAGGACCAAAGUUUGAAUCAAGAUCUCACUGAUACUAAGCCAGAGCUACUUCUAGGACUCCAGACGUCCUCCCUGUGACCACACAAGAAGCGCAGGAGCUGCUUUGGCCUGAGGAAAGAGCCUCCUGUGUUCCCACACUUCUUCAUCAAUAAGACUUGGGGAGCUCACUCGGCUUCCCAGGUGUAUGGAUUUAAGAACAGAACUAUCACUACGAUGCUUGGACUCCUAUUUUAUGAAAUAGAUUAUAGCCCA